rnacentral:rRNA from 1 species
UACGAAGGUGGCAAGCGUUGUUCGGAUUUACUGGGCGUACAGGGAGCGUAGGCGGUUGGAUAAGCCCUCCGUGAAAUCUCCAGGCUUAACCUGGAAAGUGCAGAGGGGACUGUUCAGCUAGAGGAUGGGAGAGGAGCGCGGAAUUCCCGGUGUAGCGGUGAAAUGCGUAGAGAUCGGGAGGAAGGCCGGUGGCGAAGGCGGGCGCUCUGGAACAUUUCUGACGCUGAGGCUCGAAAGCGUGGGGAGCAAACAGG